CGGUGAGAGAUAAAAUAGUCAAAUCACACAGAAAUGAAUAUUUCAAAAAAUUCCCCUAAAGAUCAGGUCGUUACACCUAUAAAAACAAGAAAAAAAGAAGCAGUCUUUUACGACAAGGUUCUUGAUUAGAAAGUUUGAAUUACUAGUGGAAUUACAAUGAUUUUCUCUUUAAAGGUAUAUUAUCGAUGCUGAUCCUGGUGGGGUUCUCAAGCAGAUCCAUAUUUCCUUGAUAUAAUAGAUUUCUUUGGUUGACUGGGACUUCAGGAAUUUUAAUUUUAGGUGUGACAACUGUAGAUUGUAUGUAACCAAUUAUGUAACCGGGCUUCUUUCGGACUGCAACUGUUAAGAGUACCAUGUCCUUACGUGACCAAGCAUAUACUACUUGAGCGAGUGAACGUUACUUUCUUAGAAGUGGAUUAAAAUGUCCAGACACCGUUUGAAUCUGCUGUAACUUUCUUUAGAGCAGCAAGCACCAAACAACCUGUAGAUAGACCUUAUUGCAACCCAUAUGUACAACCACUUUAAUUUUGUGUAUCGUAAUUGGAGAAAGUUCUCCUUCAAGCUUUCAACAGUGUCCUUCAAACUGACCUCGGAGAAGUGAAAUUGAUGCCUAAGCUUUUUUUUCUCUUUCCUUAGAUACCUAGAAUGGCACCAUAUGCAGAGCUCCUCUUUCUACCUACAUCGACACUCAAGAAUUUGAGAUACCAAAAUUCUUUAGAUAGUAGAUCAUUUGUAAGAGUUAGCUAUCUAAGGUACAAUCAACGAAAAUGCCGAGUCAGUUUCAAUUUGAAGACUUCCAAUUCUAUGAAUCUUUCAUGUUUGUUUACUUGAUGAAAUUAUAUAUUAUAGUUACUUGAUGUUAUGAGGCUAAAUUUUGAGUUUUCUCUGUUGAACGAUGUAGAGUUAGUAAUGAAAAUGUAUGAGUUGUACGAAAAUUAUUUUUAUUUUAUACACAUCCAGAUUUGCUAAACUUGUUAUAACUAAGUGGAUAUCAUGUGUUGAACAACUCGAAAGUAUCAAAUACUUACUUCUCAGCGAUGAUGAUUGAAGGAUAGACCUCAUAUAGAAUCUUCAUAACCGCAGGAGGGGGUUCGUAUAAAUUGGUUAAAAGAAAAAAGAUCACCAGCCCUCGACUUAAAUUAGCAUCAAAGACAUGAUGAGUAUGCAUUUUCUUCCGUGUAAAACUACUACAGAUAACUAAUAUGAGUUCGGUUUUAGGAGUUCUUCAUAUCACUAGAAAAAAAGGGAAAUCUGCAUACUUAAAACAUAGUUAAUCUGCUAUGCUUUCGAUGUGUUUCAAGUAGAAAACACUACAGCAUGGUGAGCUGCUCUAAUAAAGAAAAUCGAGAAAGUACCCUGCUGAGUAUCAAGUAUAGGCUACAUCGCAUUGCUUCAUUAGGAGGUUGGAACCUAAAUGACGGAAAAAAAG
rnacentral:lncRNA from 1 species